rnacentral:lncRNA from 1 species
CUUAGAAGUUGAAGACAAUGAUAAUAGCAAUGAUAAUGAUUGUUGUUAAUAAUAGCAAUAUCAAUGGUAACAAAAAAUCCUCUCUGGGCCUGAUUUGAUCACCUGUAAAACAAAGAGAGUAAAUUAAAUACAUGUUCUUUAACUUCAGUUCCCUCCCUGAAUGUCCAUAGUUUCUACUUUUUAAUUCAUUUUUUUUUUCCAGACGAGAAGGCCACAGAUGUGCUUUCAUCUUAUUUUACUCCUGUGGACACUCUAGUCAUUUCUCUCAGACUGGGGCCUGUUUGCCAAUCCUGGAGGCUGAGGAUAAGAAGCACUAUUGCAGAAGAACAUGUGCCUGCAUUUCACAGAGAAGAAACUCGAGGCUGAGAAUUUGCCUUCUCUGAGGACACAGAGUCAGGCCUGGCUGCAGGGGGAGCACCUCAGAUGCUGCUGUUGCUGGUGGAACUGGAUUGACCAAGGAAGCACUGCUGCCCCCUGUUGCUCCGAAGGGCAAUCUGCAGUCUCCGGGCAAAGGAGCAUCUUUGGAGACCCCUGCACCUCAUUGGCAGCAGCUGUCCUGGGUGGGUUCUGAGUUCACCACGCCUGGCAGAACUCAUCCUGAGUCAUGCUGGGGAGGCUGGUCAGGAGGGACCCAGGAACCAGGAGCAGAACUUUUGCUGGAGAAGCAAGAUCUGGGAGAUCAACUCCCGAUGCAUGGAGUAUUGUCCUAUUCCUCCUUGACAGAUAUCUGCUGCCUCCAGAGUGAUUUUUGUGAUGUGGAACCACAGCCUGCAUAUGAUCUGGGAAGGGACAAACAGAGGGUCACCAAGGCGUGCUGUCCACAGAGCCUCUGUGGACAGAGACACAGGCGUCACAGGCAGUUAGCUGGGAGGGUACUUCCUUCAGUCCCAGGGUUUGCCUGUCUGGUGGGGGUGCCUGUCUACCAAAAGGACCUUUUACAUCCUCACACCCAACACUGGCAUCUAUGCUUCUUUCUUACAAAAUGAAACAAUAAGGGUGAAAUGACUCACAGGAGAAAAGGACCACUGGGUCUCUAAAUGGCAUCUUCUCCAAGCUCAUUUGCAGAUCAUUAAAUACUUAACUGGGGAAGAAAGAAAGGAUUGAUGUGUUCCAGG